CACUCAGCUGGUAUCUAUUUAGGUAUUGCAGAAUGUACAUCAAUGAUUGGAUAUGCUCUGGGUUAUGUGCUAGGAGCACCACUAGUUAAAGUCCCUGAGAAUACUACUUCUGCAACAAAGUUCAACACGGAUAAAAGCUAGGAAACGUAAACAGCUUCAUUUUUUUGACAGCAGACUUAAAGAUCUGAAACUUGGAACUAAUAUCAAGGAUUUAUGUGCUGCUCUUUGGAUUCUGAUGAAGAAUCCAGUGCUCAUAUGCCUAGCUCUGUCAAAAGCUACAGAAUAUUUAGUUAUUAUUGGAGCUUCUGAAUUUUUGCCUAUAUAUUUAGAAAAUCAGUUUAUAUUAACACCCACUGUGGCAACUACACUUGCAGGUAGAUUUACCUUCUUAUUGUCAUUUCAAAAAUUUUGCACUGUCUUAUUGUAUGUACUUAUGAAAUACUUGAAAUA
rnacentral:lncRNA from 1 species